ACGGAAGGCAGCAGUGGGGGAUAUUGCACAAUGGGGGAAACCCUGAUGCAGCGACGCCGCGUGAGUGAUGAAGUAUUUCGGUAUGUAAAGCUCUAUCAGCAGGAAAGAUAAUGACGGUACCUGACUAAGAAGCACCGGCUAAAUACGUGCCAGCAGCCGCGGUAAUACGUAGGGGGCAAGCGUUAUCCGGAUUUACUGGGUGUAAAGGGAGCGUAGACGGCGCUGCAAGUCAGGUGUGAAAGGCUGGGGCUUAACCCCGGGACUGCAUUGGAAACUGCAGUGCUCGGGUGCCGGAGAGGUAAGCGGAAUUCCUAGUGUAGCGGUGAAAUGCGUAGAUAUUAGGAGGAACACCAGUGGCGAAGGCGGCUUACUGGACGGUAACUGACGUUGAGGCUCGAAAGCGUGGGGAGCAAACAGGAUUAGAUACCCUGGUA
rnacentral:rRNA from 1 species